GUACGCUGGCGGCACGCCUAACACAUGCAAGUCGAACGCAGUAGCAAUACUGAGUGGCAAACGGGUGAGUAUAAUGUGGGAAUCUGCCUUUUGGUUUGGAAUAACACGGGGAAACUUGUGCUAAUACCGGAUAAGCCCUUACGGGGAAAGUUUUAACGCCGAAAGAUGAGCCUGCACUUGAUUAGCUAGUUGGUAAGGUAAAGGCUUACCAAGGCAACGAUCAAUAGCUGUUCUUAGAGGAAGACCAGCCACAUUGGGACUGAGACACGGCCCAGACUCCUACGGGAGGCAGCAGUGGGGAAUCUUGCACAAUGGGGGAAACCCUGAUGCAGCGAUGCCGCGUGAGUGAAGAAGGCCUUUGGGUUGUAAAACUCUUUCGUCGGGGAAGAAAAUGACUGUACCCGAAUAAGAAGGUCCGGCUAA
rnacentral:rRNA from 1 species